CCUCUCCUGGGAUGUUAGCCAGUGGUCGCGUCCUUGAGCCGUUAUAAAAACGUAAGGGAACUUUUCGUUAGUUCUGUGUGCUUACCCAAAUCGAUGGGCCGCCUUCGAACUAGCUGAGGUUCCCGCCUUGAAUCAAAACGGUUCAGGGCAAACCAACAGCGGCAUUUCCGGGAGACUC
rnacentral:other from 1 species